rnacentral:rRNA from 1 species
CCUACGGGAGGCAGCAGUGGGGGAUAUUGCACAAUGGGGGGAACCCUGAUGCAGCGACGCCGCGUGUGGGAAGACGGUCCUCUGGAUUGUAAACCACUGUCCCCAGGGACGAAAAUGACGGUACCUGGGGAGGAAGCUCCGGCUAACUACGUGCCAGCAGCCGCGGUAAUACGUAGGGAGCGAGCGGUGUCCGGAAUUACUGGGUGUAAAGGGAGCGUAGGCGGGGAUGCAAGUUGGGUGGCAAAACUACCGGCUCAACUGGUAGUCGCACUCAAAACUGCAGCUCUUGAGUGAAGUAGAGGCAGGCGGAAUUCGUGGUGUAGCGGUGAAAUGCGUAGAUAUUAGGAGGAACACCAGUGGCGAAGGCGGCCUGCUGGGCUUUUACUGACGCUGAGGCUCGAAAGUGUGGGGAGCAAACAGGAUUAGAUACCCUUGUAGUC